UCGGACGGCCAUAGGGGCGGUGUUCACCUAGCUCCGUUUCGAUCCUAGAAGUUAAGCCCGUUUCCGUAUUGGUGUGUACUGCGUUUUUGCGCGGGAAAUCCAGUAAGCUGUCCACC
rnacentral:rRNA from 2 species